rnacentral:rRNA from 1 species
UAAUACGUAGGGGGCGAGCGUUGUCCGGAUUUAUUGGGCGUAAAGAGCUCGUAGGCCGUUCGGUAAGUCAGAUGUGAAAACUCCAGGCUCAACUUGGAGACGCCAUCUGAUACUGCCGUGACUUGAGUCCGGUAGGGGAGCACGGGAAUUCCUGGUGUAGCGGUGAAAUGCGCAGAUAUCAGGAGGAACACCAGCGGCGAAGGCGGUGCUCUGGGCCGGUACUGACGCUGAGGAGCGAAAGCGUGGGAGCGAACAGGAUUAGAUACCCUGGUAGUCCACGCCGUAAACGUUGGGCACUAGGUGUGGGGACUUAUCAACGGUCUCCAUGCCGUCGCUAACGCAUUAAGUGCCCCGCCUGGGGAGUACGGCCGCAAGGCUAAAACUCAAAGGAAUUGACGGGGGCCCGCGACAAGCGGCGGAGCAUGUUGCUUAAUUCGAGGCAACGCGAAGAACCUUACCUGGGUUUGACAUGUAGAGAAAAGCCGUAGAGAUACGGUGUCCU